rnacentral:rRNA from 1 species
CUACGGGUCGCUGCAGUCGAGAAUCUUUUGCAAUGGGCGAAAGCCUGACAAUGCGACGCCGCGUGAGCGAUGAAGGUCUUCGGAUUGUAAAGCUCUGUUGCAGGGGAUGAAAGUUUAGCUUUUUAAUAAAGAGUUAGAUUGACAGUACCUUGAGAGGAAGCCACGGCUAACUCCGUGCCAGCAGCCGCGGUAAUACGGAGGUGGCAAGCGUUGUUCGGAUUGAUUGGGUGUAAAGGGCAUGUAGGCGUUUUGGUAAGUUGAAUGUGAAAUCCCGUAGCUCAACUACGGAACUGCAUUCGAAACUGCCGGAAUUGAGUACGGAAGGGGAGAAUGGAAUUCCCGGUGUAAGGGUGAAAUCUGUAGAUAUCGGGAGGAACACCAGUGGCGAAGGCGAUUCUCUGGUCCGAUACUGACGCUGAAAUGCGAAAGCUAGGGGAGCAAACAGGAUUAGAUACCCCUGUAGUC